rnacentral:lncRNA from 1 species
UGCUUGAUUUCAAGUUUAAAUCAAAUUUAAAUAGUUAAAACUAUUAUGUCAGAGCUGGAAAGCAUCAAGGAUGAUCCCUUUCUAGGGUUUUGCUUUAUUCUAAGUCUUUGCCUGGAUCACCCUUAUACAGAAUUGGUCACUACUUCUCUUUAGGUUUGCAGUAAAAUGUUAUUUUCAUAGUAAGACCUUCACUAUCAUAUAUAUAAAAUGCUCCUUUCCAAUUAGUAUUACCAUGUUUAAAUUUUUUCAAAAGUUCUAUAAUGUCCUUGUGGUUUACUUUUCUAUUGCUAUGAUAAAAUACCGUGACCAUAGCAACUUAUAACAGAAAACAAUUGACGGGUCUUAUGAGUCCAUGAUGGCAGAAAAAGACAUGACUGCAGGAGCCCUGAGAGCUGACAGCUUGAUCCAAAAGCAGGAGGCAGGACAGGACUGGAGAGUGAGAGGGAAUAACUAGGAAUGGCUUGAGCUUUUGGAACCUGAGCGCCCACCACCAGUGACCCCUCCUUCAGCGAGGCCACACCUAAUCACGAUCUAACAGAGGACCAAGUAUUCAAGCACUCCAUUCAGUGGGGGCCAUUCUCAUUUAAACAGCCGCUGAAUGGAGUGGAUAGUUUUUGUUUGUUCAUGCUACCUCUUACAUGUGUGCAUGGACAUGUGUAGUCUGCAUGAGACUGCUGAAGCUCAUUCUGUAGUCUCUAGUCUCUCUUUUUGAGGCUUUUUUUGUUUUAAUAGAUGGGUCUCUUCCCAGGCUGGCUAGCCAAAGCUAGCCUUGAGCUCUGCCCUUCUACUUCCCUUCAGUGCUGGAAUUACAGUCAUAUCCCCAAACCCAGCUCUUGGUCUCUCAACUUUGAUACUGGUGUGGAUUUAUUGAAAGGCUUUAAAAAAGUAAUAGAGGAUGAAAUAUAUUUUACAUAGGUUUGCUUUAGAGAUUUUUGUUUGAGACUUUUGAUAUAUUUGGUAUUGGUAUAGAACUCAACCAUUGACCUGUAUUUCCAGACAGUCUCACUGAGUUGCCUGGGUUGGCCUUGAACACAAAUGUAUUCUGUAGCUCAGGUAGGGUUUGACUUUGAAAUUAUGUAGCGCUUGCCUGCCUGCCAAAGCCAAUAGGCCCAGCUAAAAGUAAGACAUUUAAAAUGAAAUCUUAAAGUCAGUUUUUUAAGGUAAUUAUUUUGAUACUUUGUAAUUUUUUUACCUAUUCUCUUCAUACCUGAAGCAGAGAAAAAAAUAACAUUUUGAUUUUACUUAAUGUAAUUUAAUUUAACUGCAGUCUAAUCCUCAGAGCAUUUUAAAAUUGGAAGUAUCGCUGGGCGUAGAGUAAAUUUUACUUACUACGUUAGUACUCACGAUUUUAAUUGUGUUAUGAGUCUGAGUGGUUCAGUAGAAUGGAACUCAGCUAUUGGUAAUGAGCAGCAUUUUUCUUCUCUUGAUCUCCCCUCUGAGCUUUCAGAAUUCAGGUCAGAUAUUGUCUACUUACUACCUGAGUGUUCACCUGUGAUCCUGUGUUUUGUUUUUUUUUUUUUUUGUUGUUGUUUUUUUUUUAGAUUUUUUUUUAUUAUAUGUAAGUACACUGUAGCUGUCUUCAGACACACCAGAGAAGGGCAUCAGAUCUCAUUACGGAUGGUCGUGAGCCACCAUGUGGUUGCUGGGAUUUGAACUCAGGACCUUCAGAAGAUCAGUUAGAGUUCUUAAUCGCUGAGCCAUUUCUCCAGUCCCUCACCUGGGAUCCUAUUAGCAGCCCUCCAAUAUUGACAGUCUGCUGAUAUUUAUAUUUUAUUACAUUUGUCUGUAAUCUGGCUUGGACUGUGAGUGCAGACAUUGCUUGGUUUUCCUUUGUAGUCAGUAAUAAAUUUGUGUGUGAGUGAGUGAAUAAAUGAAGGAAUGGUUUGAAUUAUGAUUAUCCAAUUCUGUGACAACUAUGUGUAUUUUAUUGUUUGUAAAUAAUGGUUGGGACUCUGAACCCAGAAAUCACUUCAGAUUUUAGCAUGUAUAAUCUCGACUUACUGAUGAUUUAACAGUAUGCAUUCCAUGAGCCAUUUUAAAAAGACGAUAAAUUGUGUGUUUUGCUUAAAUUACCAAUGAAAGGAAGUAUUUAAGUAAAACCUUGGUGUAAGAGACAGAAAUUUGUUUGUAUCAAGCAGCUAUAUAAUUACUAAAGAUUCUGAAAAUACCUUUUUUUUUUUUAAUAAAACCUGCCUUUCUUUUACAUUACUUGCUAUUCCAAUGUUCUCUUUUGUUUGCAAGCUGUCUUAAUUUGGAGUACUUUUAGAUUUAUAGGCAAGCUGCAAAGCAGGCUGAGAGUCCUACAUACCCUGUAUAUAGCUUUAAUGCAUGCAUGCCACUGCUUUCAGAUGUAGUAUUAGUGCCUCUCCGAGCAAACAGCAGCCUCUUAGCUGAAGCACACUUUACUCAGAUUUUACCGGCCUUUCCAGAACUGUACUUUUUCUCUUCUGCUGUCAGUCCACAUUGCACAUAGAUUAAUGCAUCUAUUUUAAGUUAGUUAAUAUUUGGUAGUUAACAUUGGUUUUCUAAUUAGCAGGAAUUAUUUUUUAAUGUGCAUUUUGAAUUUUGUGUUAGUCUUGGGCUGCACGUGGAGAGCACCAUCUCCUUGGAGAUGCUGGACAAGGUGCUGGGAACUCGUGCGAGAGCAGUGCGUGCUUUAGCCAAGCCCUAAAGGCUCUUCCUGCGCUUCAGCCCGAGCAUGAGUUAUAGUUGGUACUGCUACUUAAGAGCUUUUACACUUGGGAUGAAUGUUCUUUUCAACAUAGCUUGAGUGUUGCUUUGCUGUCCACUGUUUUGCUAUUUUUUUCUUUAUUGUGUGCAAAUCUAAUAAGACCCACUUAGUUAGUUAGCCUCGUUAGUUUAUAUCAAUUUCCCUUAAAAUAUAUUCCAUAGAGUACUAGUAUAGUUCUAUGGAAAUUGUGGUUUUUGGACCCAUAAAUAUGGGCAUCUUUUUGUUUUCUGCCUGAAAAGAUUCUCAUCUGACUGGUCUGCCAAGGUGUCUCAUGGAGUGGUAGCUGCAUAGUAAACAGUUGAUG